AGGCCCAAAGAGAGAGGCAGGGUCUGAUCCGCAGCCUCCGUGGCAGCUGUUGAUCAGCCAUUGCCUUUCUGUUUCUCACCG
rfam:Myotis davidii contig167030, whole genome shotgun sequence.